UACGUAGGGGGCAAGCGUUGUCCGGAAUCAUUGGGCGUAAAGCGCGUGUAGGCGGUCCGGUAAGUCGGCUGUGAAAGUCCAGGGCUCAACCCUGGGAUGCCGGUCGAUACUGCCGGACUAGAGUUCGGAAGAGGCGAGUGGAAUUCCCGGCGUAGCGGUGAAAUGCGCAGAUAUCGGGAGGAACACCAAUGGCGAAGGCAGCUCGCUGGGACGUUACUGACGCUGAGACGCGAAAGCGUGGGGAGCAAACAGG
rnacentral:rRNA from 1 species